rnacentral:rRNA from 1 species
AUGCCGAGUCAGGCGACAAAAUUAAAUCAUGGCUAUGAAGGAGGUAUCACCAUUUUCACUAAUUUGGCUAAGUCAACAAAUCGACUUGUUGCUGAAGAAGCUGCUGGUGGCCUUUGGAAUCUCUCCGUUGGUGAGGAGCACAAGGCGGCUAUUGCGGCAGCUGGUGGUAUAAAGGCUUUGGUUGAUCUUAUAUUUUGUUGGCCUGCUGGGACUGAUGGAGUUCUUGAACGUGCUUCUGGUGUGCUUGCAAACCUAGCUGCUGAUGACAAGUGCAGCCUGGAAGUCGCAAAGGCUGGUGGUGUCCAUGCUUUGGUUACACUUGCUCGAUCAUGUAAACUUGAGGGCGUCCUAGAACAGGCGGCAAGGGCUCUAGCCAACUUAGCUGCACAUGGAGAUAACAACAACAAUAAUGCGGCUGUAUGUCAGGAAGCAGGGGCUCUUGAGGCAUUAGUGCAACUAACAUGUUCUCAAAACGAGGGUGUAAGGCAAGAGGCUGCUGGUGCUUUGUGGAACCUAUCAUUUGAUGAUGGGAAUCGUGAAGUUAUUGCUGCUGCGGGGGGUGUUGAAGCAUUGGUUUCACUUGCACAACAAUGUCUGAAUGCUUUGGAAGGCCUUCAGGAGAGAGCUGCUGGCGCAUUAUGGGGACUAUCUGCCUCAGAAUCGAACAGGUAG